UACAGAGGUCUCAAGCGUUGUUCGGAUUCAUUGGGCGUAAAGGGUGCGUAGGCGGCGCGGUAAGUCGGGUGUGAAAUCUCGGAGCUUAACUCCGAAACUGCAUUCGAUACUGCCGUGCUUAAGGACUGGAGAGGAGACUGGAAUUUACGGUGUAGCGGUGAAAUGCGUAGAUAUCGUAAGGAAGACCAGUGGCGAAGGCGGGUCUCUGGACAGUUCCUGACGCUGAGGCACGAAGGCCAGGGGAGCAAACGGG
rnacentral:rRNA from 1 species